AAAUUGGCUGUGAAGAGAAGAGUACGCCUCGUCUGCGCCUGACAGAAAGCCCGAAGGAUGGAACCGGGCAGGCCGCGCGGAGCGGAACAUGGUCUCUGAGCUGCGCGGGCGAAGCGUUAUGUCAGCCUGCGACGGGUGCGCCCGUUACUGCGCUCGCCGGAGGUUCCGGCGCAAGGCCGCGUCUGCAAGGGUGCGGCGAAACAAGGUGGUACCACGGAAGUUACACGCUCUCGUCCUUGUC
rnacentral:ncRNA from 1 species